CCCGCGGCAAGACGGAAAGACCCCGUGAACCUUUACUAUAGCUUGACACUGAACAUUGAGCCUUGAUGUGUAGGAUAGGUGGGAGGCUUUGAAGCGUGGACGCCAGUCUGCGUGGAGCCGACCUUGAAAUACCACCCUUUAAUGUUUGAUGUUCUAACGUGGAUCCGUAAUCCGGGUUGCGGACAGUGUCUGGUGGGUAGUUUGACUGGGGCGGUCUCCUCCUAAAGAGUAACGGAGGAGCACGAAGGUUGGCUAAUCCUGGUCGGACAUCAGGAGGUUAGUGCAAUGGCAUAAGCCAGCUUGACUGCGAGCGUGACGGCGCGAGCAGGUGCGAAAGCAGGUCAUAGUGAUCCGGUGGUUCUGAAUGGAAGGGCCAUCGCUCAACGGAUAAAAGGUACUCCGGGGAUAACAGGCUGAUACCGCCCAAGAGUUCAUAUCGACGGCGGUGUUUGGCACCUCGAUGUCGGCUCAUCACAUCCUGGGGCUGAAGUAGGUCCCAAGGGUAUGGCUGUUCGCCAUUUAAAGUGGUACGCGAGCUGGGUUUAGAACGUCGUGAGACAGUUCGGUCCCUAUCUGCCGUGGGCGCUGGAGAACUGAGGGGGGCUGCUCCUAGUACGAGAGGACCGGAGUGGACGCAUCACUGGUGUUCGGGUUGUCAUGCCAAUGGCACUGCCCGGUAGCUAAAUGCGGAAGAGAUAAGUGCUGAAAGCAUCUAAGCACGAAACUUGCCCCGAGAUGAGUUCUCCCUGAGACUUAGAGUCUCCUGAAGGAACGUUGAAGACGACGACGUUGAUAGGCCGGGUGUGUAAGCGCAGCGAUGCGUUGAGCUAACCGGUACUAAUGAACCGUGAGGCUUAACCUUACAACGCCGAAG
rnacentral:rRNA from 1 species